rnacentral:lncRNA from 1 species
UAACCGAAAGCUCUUGGUGUAUGAGAUUGAUCUAACUAAUCUAAGCAAUCUAGAUCAAAUAGGUAGAGAGAGUAAAGGUGUGCACAAGAUAGAUAAAACUCUUGUCCUAGGGAUCUAGGAUCACUUGCAGAUGCAAUCAUCAAGAGUUAACAAAACAGAUCUAAGUAUUAUCAUGAGUGGAUGUGAACCAAGACCAACACUUUCCCUCCCGUAUAACUAGUCACUACACAGGGGUACUCAACUAUCGAACAAAGAACACGACAAGAUGAUUGUUCUAGGAAAACAAAGGUGCAACCCAAAGUAGUGUUGGCCAACCAUUCAUGAAAGUACAUCAUCAAGAUAUGAAAAAUAAUAUAUUGAUCUCACAAAGAGGUUCGACGAUUACAAAUCAAGAUCUCCAUAUCACCCCGAG